GAAAGAGAGGGACAUCAUUUUGACUCCACUGUGAAUUUUGCAUUACACGCACAGUCUCAGUGAAUAAGAAUAUGCUCAUCGGUUUUAAUUCACAGACAACACAAUUAUUUAUGCAUUUUUCCCUCAUUAGAUAGCAUGGCAUGGAUGAUCUGAUGUCCAGAGACAUAAAUCCCUCCGGAGGCAGUUCAGGAGUUGUGACACAUAUGACAACAUCAACAUCAAGACUGACAUCUUUGCCACCAAAGGGCAGUAGCGGGUCAGUGAAGAGCAUGAGCAGUGGCUAUGGAGGGGCUGGGUUGGAGAAGAAUGCCUUAGCCC